rnacentral:lncRNA from 1 species
ACCUUUGUUUGGUUGCUCUAGGGUGAGAGGACCUCUCUGCGUCUGUAUGCUGAUUUGGUCAUGGAAUUCGAGCCUCAUUUACUGCACCUCUGGUUUGUGUAUUUUCAUGGAAUGCCACUCUCAAAUUAGUUUAGCUUUGUCCACACAUAUUAUGAUGUUUUGUGUCUAUUGCUGCCUUUGGCAUAUUUAAUCAUCUAUGUGUCUGCCAUGAAUUUAACAUGAAUAUAUUCCUGUUUUUUGUUACUUCUCUUGGCUUGGAUCACUAUGUUUGUUCUACCUUUGCCUUUCAAUACAUCAAGGUGAGCUUCACACAUCGUUCCCUCUGUUAUUAUAUUCAGGCAAUGAAGGAUCAGUACACGCCCAAUCUUCUGUGGCCUCCUCUCAUAAGAACUUCUACAUCGCUGUAUGAAAAUAGCUUUUCUUUGUCCAUGUGAUUAUUUGGGGAUUUUUGCCCAUAAAAAUAGCUUCUGAUGCCAAUACCGAGAUGUUAUUGAUGCAUGUGAGCCACUCUAAUUGACUGUAUUUUAGAAAUCGUGUACCCCACGAUUUUGGAAACCAUGUAAAUGAGUUAAUUGAGGACUGUAAGAUCCCUUAUCAGAUUAUAUCAUUUGUUGCUAACUCAUGUUCCUUCAAACGCUUGCAGGGUUGGAUUGGAUAUUCACAGAACUUUAUACCAUAUACUUUGGGCAUUGCUGAAACAACUGAAUGUCAAAGGUACAUGCUUUUUCUUUUGAUUGUUGUAGCCAUCCUUCAUCUCCAGAGCCAUGGGGUAUUUUCAUACGCCCAGACCCAAUGAUUUCCCAAUGAUAAACUGCCUUUUACUUUUGUGUAUGGUCUGCUGUGCUUAUUUUAGCCCCUGCUAAUUGAUGCUAACUAUGUUAGACAUAUUUUUUGGGUACCCAGGUGCUUAUGGGUUGUCCUACAAUUUGUGUGGAUGUAUUUAGGUGUGGCGUUUAUGGUAGCUGCAGCAGCUUGUCAAUUAGUUCUUAGUCAAGGACAGGUAAUUUGCCUCUUAACCCUUUGCAACCAUGUAAUGCACACAUGUUAUCCAAAAGAUUUUUUUGUAGGUUCUUGAUUUUUUGCUCUUGCUUCACAGGCACCAAUACAUGCUACCACUUAAUUCAGGUCAUGGUACCACUUAAUUCAGGCCAUUGUACCUGCAACGUCCGGUCUUCAUGGGAAUGCGUACCGUCGUCGAAUCCUAUUGACCCGCACUCGAUCCCGACCGUCGAUUGGGGUCGAUGAACCCGGUACACGGGACACGGCGUCGACCCGCGUUCCCGGCUACUAUGGUCUUAACGCGAGGAGGUGCCGAGAUACACGAGGGGUUGGAGCAGGACUGCAAGAGGAGUUGAGGACAUGUUUUGUUUUAGAUCCACCUGAUUAGUCCCAAGUUUUUGCAAGGUCUGCUUCUUAUGCAGAGGUUUCUUUUGAUGGGCAGCCUAGCCAAUUAAUUAUGGUUAGUCCUUUUACUUAGAUUUAGUAUUAGGUGAAUUAUUUGCUUCUGUGUCGAUGAACAAAUGAGUCUGAUUUAAUUUUGCUUUAGAUUAUUAUCGUUUUCGAUGUUGGUUUGAAGUUAAAAGUGAGAAAGAGAUUAGGUGACAGGGAUUUGGUGUGACAAACUUUUAUUUUGUCUUGUGUUUAAUCCUAUUUAGCUUUUGUAGAUAACUCUAUGAUAGCAUCUGUACUGACAAUAAUUUGUGUAGAAUGUUGAGUGCUUGAAUUAACUUGAUGUAUAUAUGAUAGCAUCUGUACUGACAAUAUUUAACUUUUAUUUUGUGUUUAAUCCUAUUUAGAUCAUGUAUGUCGUAGAAUGUUGAGUGCUUGAAUUAACUUGAUGGCCACAAUAAUUUGUAUAGCCGGAAGAAGUAGUGCUUAUAUUCGAAUCACCUCCUUUUAGCUAAGAGUAGUAGGCGAUGAGCAGCAGGCAGGUGUGAGUCAAAUAAAAGGAAUGCAAGAACUCGAGUUUACCCAGAUAAAAGGUUAUUUAAACCAUUUUGUUUUACUUUAUGGGAAUUGCAUAACGAAGAUAUUCAUAGUGAAAUGGGCUUCUUUUCUUUCAUAAUUUACUUUCAUCAACAUGGUCUCCAACUCCUCAUCUUGAAACAUCGGAUUGGAGAUUUCGAGAGAAAAAAAUUACUUGUAAUAAUUUCACAGAUUUUACAUGAUCAGUACAGUAAGAAGGCUUGCAAGAAUUCGUAAGAUAGUUUUGAACUCUUCGCAAACCGAAAGGAUCAUAUAUUGACGCAAACAAUUUAUGUAUUGUUUUGUACCAGUUUGGAUCACUCUGGGCAAUUCUCUCUGGAGUUGAGAGUACUCUGAGCACUGCCCAUAGCGUGCCACGACGACCGUUUGCACUAUAGGAGCCUCGCGACACAGGUCAUCUCUCUCCUUUCUCCUCCUCCAGCUUCCCUCCCUUUAGGUCUCAUUGUAGCUUUUAUGUGCGAGAGGCUUGAUCAUGGGCAUAAGAACAACAGUUUUCCAUUUCAUUUGUGUGUGCGCAAGAGCAAUGAACUCGGAAGGGUUUCUUUUCUAAUGUGAUUUGCUUCAUUCCUAAAUAUAGCUCAUCGUUUGUGCCCUCUUUUUGGUCGAUGACGUGGAUAUUCCUGUUAAAAGAAAGGUCUGGAAUUCACAGUUUGAUGCAUUAGUAGUCGUUGCCGUAUUUCUGUUUUUCUGUUUGCCUGGUCUCCCCUUGCUAUGCUGAAUGAAGUUUGCUUGCCAGUGUUUCGUUUACUAUGAGAAGUUACAUGCAUGAGGCAUGAUAGAUGCAUUCCUCAUAUUUUGUUUCUAUCUGCUAACUUUGACUUCCUUUUUUUUCAUGCAUUGCUCCUUCUACAGUCCUCAUAUGAGAAGUGGGGAUUCCACCAGCAUUCUCACAAAUAGGUACUAUUCAUUUUGCUUCAGAGAGAUGUCGGUUGAUGCUGCGUUUAACUGGAUUUGGAAAGCUAAGUGCAAUAUGAAAUGGAAAGGUUUUCGCCUGGCUUCUCUUGGCUAACAGGCUGAAUAUGAGAAAUAUGCCACGCAGGAGGCACUACCGAGUUACUAAUGACUAUACAUGCCUGCUGUGUGAUAAUCCUCCCGAGGAAACCCUGGCAAUUCUCUAGGGUGACUUGGCCAAACUCUGAAUGCAGACUUGAGAUGUUGCACAUGGGAAAACAAACUUGGCACAAACCUCUGUUCAUGGAAACUUUCAUUGUUGCCGUAUGGGGGAUCUGGAUGGAGAGAAAUGACAAGUCCUUCAGAGGAAUGCCCAUGCAAGCAUUAUCCAACAAUAACAAGUCUUCUUAUUCAUGCAUGCACACCCUUAGAAGACCACAAUGGGCCUAAGAAAUCUUCUCUGCUCAAAUUAUGUAUGCUUAUCUAUAUGAGGCAUCUCUCCUAUGUUGCUUGCUUUUUAAAAGCAUUGUAAAUGGCUAUCAAAACUUCUUAUAACGCUGUGUAUCAGCAUCAUACCUAAGUAUAUAUUUCCUUAUAACUAAAUAUUCUGACGAGCUUGCUUCAAAUGCUUGGUUUGCUCUCGCCCUUUGCGUCAUUGGCGCACCGGGUCAUCUAGUUACC